GAGUUUGAUCCUGGGCUCAGGACGAACGCUGGCGGCGUGCCUAAUACAUGCAAGUCGAACGAACGGAUAAAGAGCUUGCUCUUUUGAAGUUAGUGGCGGACGGGUGAGUAACACGUGGGUAACCUGCCUCACAGCUGGGGAUAACAUCGAGAAAUCGAUGCUAAUACCGAAUGUGCUGAACAUCAUAAGAUGUUCAAGUGAAAGACGGUUUCGGCUGUCACUGUGAGAUGGACCCGCGCUGGAUUAGCUAGUUGGUAAGGUAAUGGCUUACCAAGGCGACGAUCCAUAGCCGACCUGAGAGGGUGAUCGGCCACAUUGGGACUGAGACACGGCCCAAACUCCUACGGGAGCAGCAGUAGGAAUCUUCGGCAAUGGACGAAAGUCUGACCGAGCAACGCCGCGUGAGUGAAGAAGGUUUUCGGAUCGUAAAACUCUGUUGUUAGAGAAGAACGUU
rnacentral:rRNA from 1 species